rnacentral:lncRNA from 1 species
AGGCCCUGCUGGUUGAGCUGGGAGACUCAGUCCCAAGGCUUUGAACAGACACGUAAUUUCAAUGAUGUUGGGGUUGGGGGGACCAUAAGCUCGCACAAUCCUAAAUCCCAGCCCCAAGGAGGCCUAGGGAGAGCCUGAGGCUCGAAUGAGUAAGAAUGGGAGUGGGAACGAGGAUGAAGGUGGGUCCCCCUUGCCCCCUGGCCUCACCUGGUUAUCCUCCGGGCCUCCAGGUGGCUCGGGGAGUCUCUCCGGCGCUUUCUCAUAGGCGAGUAGGACCGACGUCUCCGACGCGCUCGCUCGCGCUCCCGCUGCUGCGAGUCCUUCUCACUGUAUUUGGGAUCCCGCUCCCUGAAGGGGCGCGGGGGGUUACUGGGGAGCUGGGGCUGGGCUGGAUUUUCUGCGUGAGCGCGUGGGAGAGGGACACUCCCUUUCUUUCCCACCCCACUGGGUCACGGGAUGGGGUCUGCACGUUGCCGCAAGGGAGACCGGAGGGAGGAUGACGGGGCUGCGAUGCCACAUCUUUCUCAACUCUGGAGUUCAAUGGUAACACAUGUAUCUCCACCACCUCUGUCAGGAAUGUAUCAUGCCAGGCAACUAGACCCUGAGAUCUGCGAUCUCUGGCUUGGGCUUGGUACAAAGAUGGGAUCAUGGAAUCUUUGCCCCAGAGAUGGUGAGUGGUUGGUAGCCAGUGUAUUACAAGUGAAUCCAACAAGCCCAUCCUGGAGGGAGCUAGGCUGGAAGAACUCAAGGACAGGGGCCUGUGAGUACAAUAAUUUUCAUUAUCUUGUGGUUUGCUACCUGGAGGCUGCCAGGCUGGGCCUUUCUCUCCCAAGUACUUGUUCCUAGUCUUGACUACGAAUUUCAUUUUUCCUGGUGCACCAUGGAUCCCCGUAGGCAAGGAUUUCUUGAAUGUGAGGCCCCUCUGGGCUAGUGGAUAUAGAAGUGGAUCUAGCCUUGUUCAUCUUCUCAACCCAACACUCUGAGCUCACAGGGAUACUUUCAGAGUAUCACCACCUGGCUCUGACUUAUCCACAUGUAACUUGUGUGGUCAGAACUGAGAAAUCUACAAGGCAUUAUGCUUUUCCAUCAUCACCAGAAAACAGGGAUAAAGGCACUAUUGAAAUGUUCUCAUUGGGUUAAAUUUGGUGCCUGAAAAUACCAACCUCUCCUGCAUGUUUAAAAAUCCCAUUUCUUUGAAUGGAUCUAAACUCUUUGACAUGGAUGACAGUGUUUUUUACAGCCCGGUCCUGCCUACUUCACAAAUAGCAUCUCUUCCACACCAUCCCACCCUGGCCCCCACAGCCUAAGCUGACUGAUUCAGAUUCGAGUUUUCUUGGUUCUGCCAUCCCAUCUUGUUCUAACCCCAGGCCAUUUGCACAUGCCAUUUCCUCUGCCUAGAAUACUCCUCUCUUCCCCACUUCACAUGGCUAAAUUUAUUCAUCCUCCAGGUGUCCUAUCACCUCUUCUAGAAAGCCUUCUCUCAUCCUCCAGACCAGGAUAGCACAAUACACUGCACUUCAUUCAUUCACUGAAUCUUGAAUUCACUCACUCAUUCAAAAAUGAGUGUCAUUUGUUUGCCACAGCCCUGUUCCUCAGUACAGUAGUUGCUUAUUUUAUUGGCCGUCUCUCUGACUGGGUUUGGAGCUUGCUGAGGGCAGGGCCAUGACUGGUUCAAUGUUGCACCCCAGCAUUCACCAAUGCCUGGCACAGAGUAGGCACUCAGUAAAUUUUGCCUAAUGAACAAGUUUGCUCUCCGGUCCUUUGAAAGCCUCUGUGGGCCUGCCUGACUUCAUUUAUUGUAGAGACAACUGGGUGAUCAGGCCCAGGUGGGAUCCAGCUGGGUGUCUGCCAGCUUUGGGAAUUUGAGAAGAAACCAGCCUCCAUCACACUGAGAAUCGUUCUAGGAAACUUGGAGACCCCUGGCUGAAGCUUGGGGUCUCAAGACCAGCUCGGCUGGGUGUGUGAGCUCGAGAGAACCUCUAGAAUCAAAUAUUUAUUUUUAUUGAUAUAUAAUAGAUGUACAUAUUUUUGGAAUAUAUGUGAUAUUUCGAUACAUUCACAUAAUGUGUAAUGAUCAGAUCAGGGUAAUAGAGAUAGAUAUCCAUCACCUUAAACAUUUAUCUUUUCUUUAUGCUGGGAGCAUUCAAAUUAUUCUCUUCUAAGACCGAGCAUGGUGGCUCACGCCUGUAAUCCCAACACUCUGGGAGGCCGAAGUGGGUGGAUUACUUGAGGUCAGGAGUUCGAGACCAGGCUGGCCAACAUGGCGAAACCUUGUCUCUACCAAAAACUACAAAAAUUAGCCGGGUGUGGUGGCAUGUGCCUGUAGUCCUAGCUAGUUGGGAGGCUGAGGUGGGAGAGUUUCUUGAACCUGGGAGGUGGAGGCUACAGUGAACCAAGAUCACACCACUGCACUCCAGCCUGAGCCAAAAAAAAUUAUUCUCUUCUAGUUACUUUGAAAUAUAAAAUAGAUUAUUGUUUACUAGAGCCACUCUACUGUGCUAUUGAACAGAAGGUCUUAGAAGAAAGUUUGAGGUCCAGACCCCUGGCAGAGAGAAAGAAAGCCCUCUGUUCUUUCUCUCAUUCCCCCUGAUACCCCUCAGACCGAGGACCCUGGGAGAAAGCACCCAGAGGCUCUGCACAGAUUCUCAACAGCAUAAGCUGCAGCCUUCAGGUGAGAAGUUUCCGACCUGCAAAACCUUUCAGAUGAAACAAGCUGUGCUGGGUCUUCUUACUUCUUAUUCCACUCUCUGCUACUAUGGGAGCUCAAGUUCAAAGAUGGACUGAGUUCAGUCAUUUGCAUGCAGCAAGGCUGCCAGCCUGCAUAGUGACUUUGUUCCUAUUAGGAAAAGGUACUCCUAUAGAGAAUGGAAUGAUGGUUACUAGAGACUGGGAAGGGUAGUGGGAAGUGGAGUAUAAAGUAGGCAUGGUUACUGGGUACAAAAAUGCAAUUAGAGAGAAUAAAUGAGAUCUAGUAUUUGGUAGCACAUCAGGACGACUAUAGUUAACAAUAAUUUUUUUUUUUUUUUUGAGACAGAGUCUCGCUCUGUUGCCCAGGCUGGAGUGCAAUGGCAUGAUCUCCGCUCACUGCAGCCUUCACCUCCUGGGUUCAAGCGAUUCUCCUGCUUCAGCCUUCCAGGUAGCUGGGAUUACGGGUGCCUGCCACCACGCCCAGGUAAUUUUUUUUGUAUUUUUAGUAGAGACAGGGUUUUGCCAUGUUGGCCAGGCUGGUCUCGAACUCCUGAUCUCAGGUGAUCUGUUCCGCCUCAGCCUCCCAAAGUGCUGGGAUUACAGGCGUGAGCCACUGCACCCGGCAGAAUUAGCAAUAAUUUUUCUUAUAUUUUAAAAUAACUAAAAGAGUGUAAUUGGAAUGUUUCUAACACAAAGAAAUGAUACAUGCUUGAGGAGAUGGAUGCACAAUUACCCUGAUUUGAUCCUUACAUAGUGUAUGCCUGUAUGGAAACAUCACAUAUACCCUGUAAAUAUAUACAACUAUUAUGUAGCCAUAAUAAUUAAAUUUUUUAAAUGAAAAAAAAAGGUGCUCCUUAUGGGUCAAGAAUUAGAAAAAGGUGCCCUUUCUGGCCAGAAAGAUUAGAAAAGAGAUAGUACACCUUUUUCUGGGCUGAAGCAGUCCUGCAUCUGUAUUCAGAGCUUAGUAAAUGGAGGGCAGGGGGGUUUUGAUCUGCCAGUUGCUCUCCAUGCUGGUCACCCUCUCAAAGGGGACAACCAGCAUGACAUCAUGUCCCUAGCGGGUAUAUCUGGAGUGAGUAAAUCGUCUUACUCCAUCUGGCCUACUUAGAAGAUUCCUCUGGCAGAGAGGAGGUGGUAACCUGAAGACAUUCAUUCCUGCUUCUUUUCAGCUGAACUCUACUUGGUAUUGUCUUUACAAAUCUUGAUGUGCUCUGUUUAUCCUUCCAGGUGGUAGGAGCAUUUUCACAAAGUCAUCAUCAGAGAUAUUCAGAUAGUUUAAUGGUCUCCUAAACCCCAGACUCCACCUUCUGCAGAGCUCUCCAUUCACUCCACAAGAAGAGGAGGAAAGAAGAUACAAUUGAGGGAAGCCCAAGACAGGAUGGGAGAGGUCUGACCGUGGAAGUGCAGAGGAGACAUUAGAGUUGUGAGCAUCUGAUGGGCUGAAAAAGGGGCCUCCCAUGGUCUUGCCUCUGCCCUUCCAUCCCUGGGUAUUGCCUUCCUAGUCAGCCACUCUCUCUGGCACAUAAGGUGCAAACAGUCACCCCCCUCCGACAUUGAUACAACAGGAUGGUUCUCCUUUGCUUCUUUUUGCCUCCUUAUUUAUAUAAUAGGCCUCUCAUAAUUCAUCUUUGAAGAGCUCCUCUUCAUGCAUUGGGAGUUUCUCUCUGUGCAUGCAACUGCUCUUUGUCCCAAGAUACUUAUUAGCAAGAGCCACUCCAGAUCCUCUGUCAUCUGGUAAUAAUGCCCUCCAGGUACCCAGGACCCCCUUUUAAGAGCUGGAACCCUUACACCAGGGUUCUCUUCCUUGGUCCAAUUUUACCUCUUCUUCCAUCUCAGCCCUCACCCUCCAUGAUGUCUACAUAAAAGCCUACUUUCGGGGUAUGGCAUGAAAAUCCAGCUUCCACAAGAUCUACUUAAUGGCCAAAUGAAAUAAUGCCUGUCUAAUCUGGAUUCUUAGAAGUCGAGAUGGAAAAUGAGUGCUAAUAAUUUGAGAGGGCAAGGAACCUCUGUAAUGGAGUGUGGAAAUGAUGCAGAGGAGAGAGGGAGACAAUAAAAGAUGCAUUAUCAAACCAGCUAUUACAGUGGGCAGUGGAUGCUUAAUCUCAGUGAGGACACCCUGGGAACCAGUGUAGAACAUGCACCCCAGAGUUAACCUCAACCAAGGAGUGAGGGAGCUGGGAUAUUUAUACACCAGUUCCCCAUCACUCAAGGCUGAACACUGGAGCAUCAAUUCUCUAGUAUGUCCAGACUGCCAAACAGGCAGAGAAAAUAGGUUUUGGCACCAGAGAAUACUAUCUGGAAGCUGGAAGUCAGCCAUGCGCCCCGAAGUGCAGAGGGUGAGGAUCUAUAUAUGGACACUAUCUGCUUCAGUACCCCAGGUCAACACUGGAAAACCGGUGAGCCGAGUUAUGCUUUGUUUCAGACAUGCUUUCGUUAGCUCCCUUAGUAUGUCAGGAAGUAAACUGGAAUUAACUGCCAACGUUGGUAGAAUGGGAGGUUUCAUGUAACAACCCCAUUUCCAGUUUCUGUUGAAAAAUAAGAUCUGGCAACACUGGGCCCAAAUCCCUGCCUGGCAAGAAUCAGCUGAGAGCAAUUACAGCUGCCCCUUUUAGAUGGGGCAUGAGCUCUCCGGACCCCAAACCCCACGAGAUCAUUGUUACUCAUAUCUAUUAGCUGGCCACCAAGACCUCUAAGUUGGAGACCCUCUGUUCUAAAAGUUUGUUGCCACUCUGAUCCCUCUGUGAGUAACAUAAACCUGGUACAUCUUGUAUGUUUCAUCUCUUCCUUCCAGAUCUGUGAAGUGUAUUGCUCCAUCUCUCCCAUCUCGACCUUUUUAAUCCCUCUUGGACUUUUGUCAAUGAAAGGAACCAGGAGACCGGAUCCAUUAAACCAUAUCCAGACAUCAGAGUUAUUAUAAACUCUUUCUCUCUGGGUCAGGGUAGUCAAUCUCAGACAUUUUAAAAUUUAAUUUUAAAAAUUUUAAAUACAAAAUGUUUUUCAUGAACUCAAGGCCAUUGGGGGGAAGUGAACUAUUUCCCUUUUUACUCCCUCAACCCCUUCCAAUGUGAAGCUCCAGUAUCUCCUCUCUCUCUCUCUCUCUCUCUCUCUCUCUCUCUCUCUCUCUCUCUCCACUCCAAACCUCGCCUCAUCUCCUUGUUCCUUAAUAUACUCAGUGUUCACAUUCAGGUUUUUCUAAUAAGUAGUUAAAUCCCCCCACCACGAACUCCAGCUCCCUGGCGUUUCACUGGGAGUCUCUCUCAGCCCUCCAGGGAAGCCGGCACUGUUAUUUAUUGUUUUUGUUUCAAAUCAUUAUUUAAUCAAGAACGGGGAAAAAAGGCAACCUCUCACUUACACUUCAAAAUUUAAUUUCAGCUGAAUUCUAAGAUCAAGAGGCAGCACGGCCUAAUAGGAUACAAAAAUACAAUCAAGAAGAGAAUUCCAAUUAAACUGAACAAGUCCAUUUACUGAGCUUCAAAUGGCCCCAUAGAGAGAGGCGGCUAUACAUUUUUUUUUCUUCCCUGCCAUAUGGGAGACUGGAAAUUCUCAUGUGAGUGUGGAGCUGUAUGGUAGAGCUUUUAGCUAGAGGGUUCUGGUUAUUCCUUAAAAAAAAAAAAGCUUUUGUUUCACAAAGACAUUAAGUUUAUUUUCCUUUCUGUUGUUCAUCUUCCUUAGUGCACUAAUUAGGAAGACAGCAAAAGAAUGGAUUCAUUGACCUGGUAGGAGUUCAUCUGGGAGGAGGAGGAGAUGGAGAAAGAGAAGGGAGAUGUGCCGGGCAUUGUGGGAAGACAACAAAGUCCUUUAGGGCUGGGGCUAUCCCAUGGGGCUGUGCACUGCAUUGAACCUUUGGUAGGCAGAGGUGGUCUGGCCUCCUUAUUAUUUUCCUUAAGCAGGAGCCAGAGGGAAUGACAGCUUCAGGCUCACCCUUUCUUUGAAGCCUCUCCUGAGGACCCCCUGCCCACCUGUUCUCAGAAAUCCCCACCGGGACCCAGUUAGAUACAUUAUCACCAGCCCAAAUUGAAACAAGAAAAAAUAAGUUCAAUGUAAUUAGUUUUUCAUCCUGCUAAAUACUUUCGAUUUGAAGACUCAUUUUUUUCUUCCAAGGUCGUGUCUUUCCUACUUCUUCUGAUGGUAAAAUCUCCCUUUAGUGAUAGAAAAUGGUGGUUUUUUCUGUUCUUCCUUGGCAAAAGUAAAAGUUGACAAUGCUAUGUCACUUCCCAUUAAACAAAACAAAACAAAACAAAACAAACAAAAACCAAUGGCCCAGAAAAUCCCCAAAUCUCAUUUCAUCCACCUUCUGUACUUUGGUUCCUCCCUUCUCUCAACUAUGAUGAUGGUAUUGAAUGUUGGAUAUUGUGUCUCCCAGUUGAGCAAGAGCUCAAAGGCUUUGCAGAAUGUGCAAGCACCUGGACUAGGGGUCAGAAGGCCUGAGCCAUCCAGAUUCUCCCUCAGCCCUAUUUUCCCUAUCUACAAAGGGGGAAGCAUAUUCCCAUCUCGCCUUUCUCCUGGGGUUGUUGUGAAGUUCACCUGCGAUCUUGGAUGGAUUCAGCUUUUUGAGGCUAAAGAUACUCCGAGAACAUCAUAUCUGGGUUUAUUUGGGAUAAGUUUAGUAAAGCUGCUAUGAUGACAAAAAAUAUUAUGGCAACUAGGAUACUUUGAGGGUUAUGUCCCAAGCAUUGGGAUACUUUUUUUCACACAGAGCAUAAGCUACAUGAGGGCAGGACAGUAGAUGCUUAGUGUUUAUUUUUGAAAUGAAUGGAUACCUUAUCUUACUCUAUCCUCAUAACAAUCCUAUAAGUAGGUAUGAUUAUUAUUAGCCCAAGGCACAGAUAAGGAUAUGAGGCCCAAAGACGUGAAAUGGCACAGAGGAGGUCAUGUAAUUAAACAUGUGGACUCUGAGGUCAGACUCCCUGGAUUCAAACCCUAGCUUCUCUGUUGAAUAGCUGCUUUUUACUUAUUUUUUCUUGGCUGGGUUUCCUUAUCAUAAAGUGGACAUAUUCAUGGAAGCUCCAUUGAAAAGCUAUUAUAAAAUUAAAUGCAAUGAUGAUGAUACAUGUAAAGAAUUGGCCUAGCACCUGGUGCAUAGUAGGUGCUCAGUAAACACCUGGUGCAUGGCAGGUGCUCAACAGGCAUUAGUUAUUGCUGUCACCUAGGGUCUCACAGGGAGAGAUCAAGAACUCCAGGGUGCCCAGAUCCAUUCCAAAGUUCAUGUCUUAAUCAUAUUGCCUCUUCCAGUUUACAAAUUUCAUGAGAUCCUCUUUUAUGGACUACGAGUUCUGCUUUUAUUAUUAUUGUUUUUGGUUUCGACAUUUGUACAGGUUUUUGUUGACAAGGAUUAGCAACUAUUGGCCCAGGCUGGAGGCAAGAAGAGGAACAAGAAACCUGCCAUUAUCUUUGGCCCAGCUCCAGACUUGAUCAGCCUCCUUCUAGAAUUCCUCUCUGGUUAUGAUAGACUUGAUAGAGAGCCCCAUAUCACAGGGAAAGGGCUUGGCUAAUCCUUGGAGCCAUGAGCCUCUCCAUCAUCCAAUCCACCUUCCCAUCAUCCAGCCCACCCUCCAUGCCAACUAUCAGGGUAAGCUUUCAAGGCACAAACCACAACUCAUAACAGUUCCCCUUUCUCCCAAUUUUGUUACAUUCCUAGGUACCAGCACCUCACAGGGCCUAUUUUCCCAUCUUCGAAAUGGUGAUAAUAAUUGCACCUACUUCAAAUAACUGUUUUAGGUACCAAAUGAGGCAAAAAUUAUGUAAAGUAUGUGACAGUGCCUGACACAUAGUGGUGUUUUCCCCUCCUUCUGUCCAUCAACAAUUGCAACCCAAUGAACUCCUAUGCAUCCUUCAAAGCCCAGCUCAAAUGAUCCUUUAUUGGUAAAGCCUUCUCAGACAUCAGGACAACAUUGUCUGGCCCUUACUCUGUGCUUCCAUUACACACUGUAGUUGCUUUCAUCACUGCCAGGAGUGACAUUCACAAUAUUCGAUAACUAGUUCGUUGUGGGUACUGCCCCACCACAGAGGAAGCUGGCUUUGAUGCUGAAGGGAAGUAAGUGUCACUUUUCUGUUUCAGGAUUUUGAGAAGAUCCAGAAAGUGCCAAGGGAGAGAAGGGAUGGCUAGGUUGACUGGGGUUGGGUGAGGUAAUGACAGGGCCUAUUUACCAACUGGCAUGAAAGUAUUUGAAUAUUUUAACAACUGGAGAAAGUACUGGUGCUCCUGACUCAAUCCCAGCCCUGAUUACAAAAUGAUCACACUAUAUUGCAGCAUUCUUCUGACUACUAGACUGUGAGCCCCUGGAGUUCAGGAAGAGUGUUUUUUUUUUUCUUUUCUUCUUUUUUUUUUUUUUUUACAAUCUCUCUGCCUCCCCAGUACCUUGAACAGAGAUGGUGGAGUGAAGAUAAGGACCAUGUGUGAGGUAAACUGUCUUGGGAUCUUCUAUUUGGAUUUGGGUGCUGACCAAGCAAGAGAGCCUCAGGUUAGCUUUAGCUCACCAACUAAGAUUUCCAUUAAGAACCAACCCCCAAAUUUGCAUAUUCAUAUAUGUAAAUAAGCCCCUUGAUAUUAUGCAACUGUCCUUGAGUUUUUAAAAAAGCUGUGCAUGUGAAAUAUCUGUAACCAAAUAUGGCAUAGAAAAUCCUUCAUGCUUGGGCUCCUCUUUACCUCCAGAGCCCAUAUCUUGCCAUGGAAUUUUAUCUCAACCCUCAACUCUAGUCUUUAUUUUCCCCCUUCAUUGGCUCACCCUUAGCUUUUCAGGUAAUUGUUACCUUCUCUGCCCAACCCUAACCCUAAUCCCAGUCCCCUCCCCUGUCUGCUAACCUUGCACCCCCAAAUAAGCAUCUGAGCACCAAUUGUUGUGCAUUGCCUUUAACUGUUUUUAACUUGUCUGUCUCGCUUCAUUAGAAGGCACAGGCUAUUUCUUUCUUAGUAAUUGGAUCCUGAGAUAAGUCAGAGCCUGACCCUUUGUAGAUGCUCCAUAGGUGUUUGUAGACUUAAAUGAAUGAUCAGACAGGUGAUUCAAUGAAAAUGACUCUGCUGUUAGCUUUAACAGAGAGAAAAACUUGGGGCUAGGAACCUUGGAAAACCUUUGAUCCAAUCUGGAAACUUCUUCCAUCUCUGCUUUUGUAAUAGAGAAGACGAGAAAGGGCCAUGCAUGAGGAGUACUCAAAGAACCAGAUCUGGGGCCAUGUGAUUCUUCCAGGAGCCAGGCAACCUUAAGUGGGGCAGAGUAGCCAUGUGAGCUGCAGCUACCAUUUAGGAUAGAAAGAAAUUGGUCUGGGAAGCAGGGGUCUUGGCUCUAGUCCCAGCCCAGCCUAUGCCUGGAACAAUACUACUAUUACUAUGACUACUACCACUGCUAUUACCACUGCUACUACUAUUGUGGCUACCACUAUCACCACUACUAUUACCACCACUACUAUCACCACUGCUAUCACCACUAUUACUUCUACUGCUGUUACUAUCACAAGCAGUAAGCAUUAUGCAGCAUUUACUUCUUGCCUGUUAUACUCUAAAACUUUUACUUACAUUGUGUCAUUGAAUUCUCAUAACAAUCUUAUGAGGUAGGUCUUAUUGCUAUCCUUGUUUUGCAGUUUUUGAGGAAACUGAGACACAGAAACUUGCUCAAGGAGUCACAGCUGGUAAGUGCAGAGCCAGGAUCUGGAAUGUUGUCAUCAUAUUAUUUGUCAAGUUUUGCACCUGUAUCAAGUACUGGGCUCAACAGCUGCCUUCUGAAGAAGAGACUGUUAUUAUCUAUAUUAUUAUUAUUUUAUUAUUAUUUCUUACAGAUGAGGAAAGUACAGCUCAGAAACAUUUAAGUAAUUACUACUAUCUCAGGGACAUGAUGUGACCACGAAUUAAUAAUUCCAUGUUUUUAAAUAACUCUGCCUUGCCAUGGCCCAUGUGAAUCAUUUCCUUUCUGUGAAUCUCAGUUUCCUUUCUUAGUAAUCAGAGCAUUAGGCUAGCUGAGCUCUUAAGGCCUCUCUUAUAGGUACAGGUGAACCCUGGUUUUUAGCUCUUCUGAUAGGGCCAGGCUCAUGAAGAACAGUGAGGCAUUGCACCUCAAAGCCAUUAAGAACCCAUGUGUUUUAGGAAAGCAAACUACCAAUAGCCAAUCUGGUAACCUCCCCAGCUUGUGUGGGAGGACAGACCCAGCUUUUUGUAACAUCUUGACAGACAUAUCUUGUUGGAAAACCAUCCCAGACAUGUAAGAAUGUAUAAGCCAGUUGCUUCCAAUGGCACUUUUUAGCUAGGGUCAAUUGGGACCUCCAGAUGGACCACCACAAAUACCAUGACCAGAGCAAUUAGGCAUCCUUUACUAACUUAAAAACAUUCCUCUACCUCUUAAUGCUCAUAUUUCAAAUUUAUCUUUACCUUUGCCACAAUCCUCCUGGGAGACAAGCGGGAUAAUCAUGCCCAUUUCUCAGGUGAGAAAGCUGAGGUUGAGAGGGGUAAAAUGACAAGUCCAGCCAAAACAAGACUCAAAUCUAGGCCUCUAUACUUUCUAUCUUGCUGGGAAGACCCCUUUUUGGAUAUUUGUGAGAGAGAGAGUACGCAGAUGGGCAUUUGCCAUCUGCAAGGACUCAGUAACCACAGACAUCUCUACCAAGAAGGAGUCUGGGGACAGUUGCAGAUGGUUCCAGGUAGGCAGAGGAUUUGGGUAAAAUUAGACCUUGGUUAUGCUGGGUGCCUUGACUGGUAAAGAAGAUUCCUGGAAUGCACUGCAGAUAAUUAUUGUGUCAACCAGGCCCAACCGUUGUCAUUGCUUUCCCUUUCUUGACAUCCCCACAAGCACCCCUGAACUUUUCCUUGCUUCCACCUCACCCUUCCUUAGGCACCAUCUACCUGAAAUUUUCAAGUUCACAUGUAGCUAGAGAAAACAGUCCCUUUCACAGCUGCCUGCUGCAAUUGUAGACCCUAUCAAUGUUGACUCUCUUCCUGUUCGUCUGUCUCUUUAGAGUCUACAAAAGGCCUUCACGUACUUUAUCUUAUUGGAUAGUCCCAACAAUUCCAUACGGAAGUGGUAUUUACUUCAAGUUUACCAAUGAGAAAAUGGAGAUUAAGUAAUUUGCCCAAAGCCACACAGCUAGGAAGUGGCCAAGCUAGGACUGAAUUCAGAUCCAUUUCUAAGUCUCUUGCUCAUGGUGUCAAACUAUAUGAAGUCAAAUUCCAGCUUGUCCUUGUUGACUUGGGGCAGCACUGCUUAAUUCUAUUCAAUGCUGGGUUGCUAAAUUGGAUUAACUCUUGCCUUGCUCUGGGGCUUUACCCCAGCCCUUAACCUCUCUGAGCCUUGAUUCUUCUUUCCUAUCUGUAGAAGGGACUAGUGAGAACAGCUGUGCCCUCAACUCCCAAGACCUUGUGUGGCUACAUGAGAGGAUGUAGGUCAAGAGCUAUGACCUCCUUGGAAGAAAAUUCUCAUAUAAAUUCAAGGUCAUGUUUAUAGGUGAAAUGAAAUCCCAGCUGCCAACCAAUGCUGCCAGCCAGCUGGCAUAAAAGAUGCAGACUUCAUGUAAAAGCUGGAGUGCCUCUGUUAUGUCAAAGAGCCCUUCUUUUCCUUUCUCUCCCAAAAACAAACAAACAAACAAAAAAUCCUCCUAUGGUAUCUUAAACAUGUCUUCCUGCAGAUAUCACUCUGGAGACAGGUAUUUAUUUGUCAACAUUCCCCUGAUAAAAAGACUGGGUAUUUAGUUUUUCUCCCCCUGCCCCCCAAAAUCCCCAAGCCAGUGUUGCCAAAGUCUGGUGAAUGAUCAUUUGGUUCAUCAUUAAUGAGGUCUGGAGCCAGUGGGAUAUUUUGUCAGAAAUUGAAUUAAAGUGUACCAUACACUGCCCUGAACUUGUGCCUCCACAUUCCCCAAGUGUCGUGGCCAAGGCUGGCAGAGGAGGCUGUGAAGAAUACUUACUACACCCCUGGCUGACAGGUAGCCAAGCAUCUGGAGGGGUUGACUGGGCGGGCGACUGGACUGGGCCUCAGGGCUGUCCUUGCAGAGGGUCUUGGAGCAGCGGCGGGAGUGCCUUCGGCGGGACUUCUGCCCUUCCUCAGGGGACCGGCCGCGGUGCCUGGGGAUGGGGGAGAGAGACCUGAGGGUCUUUUGAAGGGGAGCAUGGUAGGGAGAUGUAUGCAGGACCAACAGGAUCUGAGGAUGAUAAAGUGUGUUUGGGGGUGUUUGUAUAUGUUCAUAUGUGAUAUUGUUCCUAGGUAUGUCUGCAUGUGUGUGUAUGAAAGCUGGACUGUGUGUAUAUUCAUUUAUUUAUUCAUUCAUCCAUUUAACCAUCCAUUCAUCCAUUUAACCAUCCAUCCAUCCAUCCAUCCAUCCAUCCAUCCAUCUGUCUAAGCAACCAUCUAUUCAUCCAUCUAACUAGCCAUCUCUCAAUCAUCCAUCCAUCAAUCCAACCAAUCAUGUAUCCAUCCAUCCCUCCAUCUAACCAUCCAUCCAUCCAUCCAUCUGUCUAAGCAACCAUCUAUCCAGCCAUCUAACCAUCCACCCAAUCAUCCAUUCAUUCAUCUAUCCAUCCAUCCAUCUAUCUGUCUAAGCAACCAUCUAUCCAUCAUCCACCCAUCCAACCAUUCAUUCAUCUAUCCAUCCAUCCAUCCGUUCAUCCACUCAUCCAUCCAUCCAUCUAACUAUUCAUCUAUUCAUCCGUCCAUCCAAUCAUCCAACCAUCCAUCCAUCCGUUUAUCCAUCCAACUAACCAACCAACCACUCAGCCAACCAUCUAUGCAUUCAUCCAUCCAUCCAUCCAUCCAUCCAUCCAUCCAUCCAUCCAUCCAUCUGUCCUUCCUUCCAUCUGUUCAUCCAUCCAACUAACCAUCUAACCAUCCAUCCAUCCAUCCAUCCAUCCAUCCAUCCAUCCAUCCAUCCAUUUGUCCAACUAACCAUUCAUCCAUUCAUCCAUCUAACCAUUCAGCCAUUCAUCCAUCCAUCUACCUAACCAACAAUCUAUUCAUCCAUUCAUCCACCUAUCCAUCCAUCUAUUCAUUCCUUUAUUUAUUCAUUCUCUUACUUGUUCAUUUGACAAAUACUACUUCAUGUACCUGGAACUGCUUUAGGGUCUGAGGAUGCAGCUUUAAAAACAGAAAAGGUCCCCAUCCAGAUUCAGUUAUUCAGUUUAAUGUCACUUGUGUACCUCUCUGAUUGUCUGUCAUGUGACUAUGUGUAUGUCUGGGUGUGUCCAUCUGUGUUUCCAUGUGUUUGUCUAUAAAUGUAACUGUGUAUAACUGUGUGUCUUUGUGUAUGUGACUUUGCCAUCUGUGAAAUAAAGACAUCCUGUUGACUGUCACCCAAAACUUUAGUGAAAAAAAAAUGGCUGACAAAAAUGACAGAGAUGCCUUCUGCAAGUUUGUCACGUCUAGAUCUGGCUGCUUGGUCUGCAGUAAAAACCAAAGGCAUGUCUGACUUCUUAGAAAGGGCAUGCUUAGACUCUGCAUAUCUUAUUAGUUAUCUGAGCCACCAAAGUAAUAAAAAUAGCACAUUAUGGAUUUGCAAGGUAUGUAUACACCUCUCGAAGCAGUUUCACAGUUUUCCCUACAACUUGAAGACAUAGACAGGGCAAGGUAUUACUUUCCCAUUUUACAGAUGAGGGAGCCGAAGCUCAGAGAUGUUUAGGGAUCUUCCUGAGGUCAAACAGCCUGAAAGUGGCAGAGCAAGGGCCAGGGCAGUUUUUUGCCCCUCUAGGAACUAGCGCCUGGGAUUCAUGCCCUGGAGUGCCCCUGACUGCUCUGUGGCUUGAAAAUCAUGUUUCUACUGAAUGUGUAACCUGCGUGCCAGCUCUCAGUUUGCUUCCAUUUCUGCUAGGAAGCUCCUCAGCUCAGUAGGCACUGGGAGCUCAGAUGCCAACACCAUCAGGAGGAGAUGGGACAGCAGAGGAGGCCCGGGGUAGUGUUUGUGAUGUUAACCAUUUAUUUAACAGGUAAGUUGCUAAAGCCUUGUAUGAUUCUCUGGCCCAGGCCAGUAGGGCUUAGCUGCCGAGAGAUAAUUCAGCCUGGGGUGUAGGUGAAGUGCUCAGGCUGAGUCACACUAACCUGGUGCCUAUUCCAGCUCUGCCAGACACUUCCUAGCUAUGUGACCUCGCUCAGAUCCCUUUGCCCACCAAAAGGCAGUUGUCUCUGCUGUAACAGAUCAGAGAUGUGUUUUAGCUCAUUUGGCCAAUGUCCUCCAGAAAAAGGCCACCAGGAGUCCACCUGGGGUUGAACAAACAUUGUUGUCACUCCUUCAUACCAUAGGGAAGUUUCAGGCGUCUCUGUAAGGGGGUGUUAAAAAGAACCUAUUAUAGGCUUUGGGCUGGUGAUAGGUGGUUUGGGGAGCAUUUACAGAUCUGGAGCUUUGUUCAGAAUUGGAUGCUGCCAGGAAGUGGGGGUAAUUCUGACUGGGUGUCUUCAUCAGUCUUAUUUAGAAAGAGGGAGGACUAGACCGAGGCUAAGGCUGACUGCCGAGGAAGCAGCAGUCACUCAUAUUAGGCAGGGUAGAGAGAUGCUUGGUCACUUUUGUGUUUUGCGGUGUUCUCAUCUGGGCUCAGACUUGAUUACAGAGGGGGCUUAGUUUUGUCUUGAGCAAUCAGGGCUGCAGAGUGGCCUUGUUGGAUGGUGAUAUUCUUGGAAAUUAUUGAUGUUCAGCAGAAACACCAAGGCCUAAUUGUGAUAGUAGGUACCAAGGGCCUCUUCCUCAAAUGCUUCCCACACAUCACCUGGGGGGAUUUAAAAAUCUCACUGUUCUGGUCUCAUCUCAUCUGGAUUAAAUCAGAAUGUUGAGAGGGUGGGAUCCAGGCAUUGGCAUCUUUUAAAACUUCCCAAGUGAUUGAAAAGGGCAGCCGAAGUAGACAAGCACCAGCAUAGCACGUAGUAUUAUCAGAAUGAUGAGAGAGAAAAUGUAUUGAAAAUCUUAGCACAGUGUCUGACACAGAGCAGGAUUUGGGUAAAUAUUCCUCUCCUGCCUCCUCUUUCUCCUUCUCCCCCUUCUACCUUCUCCUUCUCCCUUUUUCUUCCUUUCUUUUCUUUUCUUUUUUUUUUUUGAGACAGACUUUCACUUUUGUCACCCAGGCUGGAGUGCAAUGGUGCAAUCUUGGCUCACUGCAACCUCCGUCUCCUGGGUUCAAGUGAUUCUCCUGCCUCAGCCUCCCGAGUAGCUGGGAUUACAGGUGCCCACCACCACACCUGGCUAAUUUUUGUAUUUUUAAUAGAGACAAGGUUUCACUAUGUUGGCCAGGGUGAUCACUAACUCCUGACCUCAGGUGAUCUGCCCACCUCGGCCCCCCAAAGUGCUAGGAUUACAGGCGCGAGACAUUGUACCUGGCUCCUCCUCCCUUUUCCUAUAGAUAUUCUGCUUUAUUUGGGAAAAGUGGGGCCAGGGCAAUGACAUUUUAAAAUCUACCCUUGUGAUGUGAACGGAGAGUCAAGUGUGAGAUGCAUUUCAGAAAGAAAAAAGCAGCUCCUCACAUCUGGAAGCUGGAGGUCUCAGUGUCCCCAUUGAACAUCAACGAUUCCAAACACCAAUAAAGCCCCAGUUCUUUUUUUUAAAUUUAUUUAUUAUUAUUAUACUUUAAGUUUUAGGGUACAUGUAUACAAUGUGCAGGUUAGUUACAUAUGUAUACAUGUGCCAUGCUGGUGUGCUGCACCCACUAACUCAUCAUCUAGCAUUAGGUAUAUCUCCCAAUGCUAUCCCUCCCCCGUCCCCCAACCCCACAACAGUCCCCAGAGUAUGAUGUUCCCCUUCCUGUGUCCAUGUGUUCUCACUGUUCAGUUCCCACCUAUGAGUGAGAAUAUGCGGUGUCUGGUU